rnacentral:rRNA from 1 species
UACGGAGGGGGCUAGCGUGGUUCGGAAUUACUGGGCGUAAAGCGCACGUAGGCGGAUCAGCAAGUUAGGGGUGAAAUCCCGGGGCUCAACCCCGGAACUGCCUUUAAAACUGUUGGUCUGGAGGUCGAGAGAGGUGAGUGGAAUUCCGAGUGUAGAGGUGAAAUUCGUAGAUAUUCGGAGGAACACCAGUGGCGAAGGCGGCUCACUGGCUCGAUACUGACGCUGAGGUGCGAAAGCGUGGGGAGCAAACAGG